GUGCCAGCAGCCGCGGUAAUACGGAGGAUCCAAGCGUUAUCCGGGAUUUAUUGGGUUUAAAGGGUGCGUAGGCGGCCCAUUAAGUCAGGGGUGAAAGACGGUAGCUCAACUAUCGCAGUGCCCUUGAUACUGAUGGGCUUGAAUGGACUAGAGGUAGGCGGAAUGUGACAAGUAGCGGUGAAAUGCAUAGAUAUGUCACAGAACACCGAUUGCGAAGGCAGCUUACUAUGGUCUUAUUGACGCUGAGGCACGAAAGCGUGGGGAUCAAACAGGAUUAGAUACCCUGGUAGUCC
rnacentral:rRNA from 1 species